AAGAAAACUGAGCUGAUUUAAUUAAGUAUUGUUCAUUUCUAUAGGCUGUAAUUGAAUUGAUUCUGGGUAUUUCAAGAAAACUGCUUGUUUCUUUUAAAUUUCCAACAGAUUAAGAGUGAUGCCACAUACUUAGCGAUGGGGUGCUUGAUAUCCUAGAUAUUGUACUAGCUUCAGACCUCGCCGAAUUGACACCUUCGAAGAAAUGAAGUCGCCAGAUUGGUAGGCUUUGAGUGUUUCACCAGAGGAAGUAUGUAGUGCAGUUAAGGAAGGAAAUGAACUUCCAUCAGACUUGAUAGACACACUACUAAAGUGGAUCCCAAGCAAUGAUGAGGAGCUUAGGCUUCGACUGUCCUCCCAUAGCACCGCCACACCGUAUGCGUCUGCGGCGGCGUCCGCCUCGGCGUCGGUCUCGCACACCGCUCCCUAGCUGGGGAAGUUCAUCGCCUCCGAGCCCUUCAACGUGGGGGGAUUCGAUUGGGCGAUCUACUUCUACCCCGAUGGGAAGAGUGGCGAGGAUGGCGCUGAGCGGCGAGGAUGGCGCUGUCUACGUCUCGCUCUUCAUAGCCCUGGCCAGCGAAGGCACCGAUGUGCGCGCGCUGUUCGAGGUCACGCUCAUCGACCAGAGCGGCAAGGGGCAAGACAAGGUGCAUACCCACUUUGGGAGGUCUCUCGAGAGCGGCCCAUACACCCUCAAGUACCGCGACAGCAUGUGGUGAGUGUGUGUA